CGUUUUACCCAAAUAUGAGUAAUAAAGGUACCCAUAUUUGGAUGAAAAACAAAACAUCAACAAUUAGCGGCACGAUAUUCAGUAACAACAAAGAGGUGAUUGCAAUCUUUAAACGGUUUUGCUUUAAAACUUGGAUAAUUUAAAGCUUGUAUUUAUGGCGAUAUUUGCUGCAUCGGCAUCCAAUCUCUUCAACCCGAAAAUUCCAACCUGAGGGACAUCCGUUCAUCUGGUUGGAUCAAAGUCGGUCUCUACUGGGACAGUCAUUUGCAACCAUCAGCAUCAUGUGCAACGCUGUUGUGCGGAUACGCUGGGGAUUCGCUCGUUGGGGCCCUGCUAGAUGGGAUGAGUCAAUGGCUAGGUGUUCCCUGAUUGGGAUAAAACCCAACUGAUGAGCACUCGAAUAUCAAAAGUCGAUAUCUUCAUAUUUAACUGUCAUAUUGGCCACACAUAUUAGAUUUUAAUAAAAGUAGUGCAUCAUGUA
rnacentral:lncRNA from 1 species